GAGUGCCCAGUGCUGUACCAUGCUGGUAGCCAGUAUGAAAUAGGGCUUGCUGGUAACCAGCGUUGUGCCCCACUGGUUGCUC
ensembl:miRNA dre-mir-7147 dre-mir-7147